UCCCGAAUAGCUCAGUCGGUUAGAGCAUCUGACUGUUAAUCAGAGGGUCGCUGGUUCGAGCCCAGCUUCGGGAGCCC
rnacentral:tRNA from 2 species